rnacentral:rRNA from 1 species
AUUGAACGCUAGCGGGAUGCUUUACACAUGCAAGUCGAACGGAGUGGCGGACGGGUGAGUAAUAUAUCGGAACGUGCCAAGUAGCGGGGGAUAAAUACUCGAAAGAGUGGCUAAUACCGCAUAAUAUUGGAGCGGCCGAUAUCGGAUUAGCUAGUUGGUGGUGUAACGGAUCACCAAGGCAACGAACCGUAGCCGGUUUGAGAGGACGACCAUCCAGACUGGUACUGAGACACGGCCCGUAUUCCUACGGGAGGCAGCAGUGGUGAAUAUUGGACAAUGGGGGAAACCAGGAGCGAGCCAACCCGCGUGUAUGAGGAAGGCUUGCGGGUUGUAAAGGACUGUUGGCAGAGAAGCGGUAUCUGCAGAAUAAGCACCGGCUAACUCCGUGCCAGCAGCCGCGGUAAUAC